GAUGAACGCUGGCGGCGUGCUUAACACAUGCAAGUCGAACGAUGAAGCCCAGCUUGCUGGGCGGAUUAGUGGCGAACGGGUGAGUAACACGUGAGUAACCUGCCCUUGACUCUGGGAUAAGCCCGGGAAACUGGGUCUAAUACCGGAUAGGAGCUCCUGUCUCAUGACGGGUGCUGGAAAGAUCUUUCGGUCAUGGAUGGACGCGCGGCCUAUCAGCUUGUUGGUGAGGUAACGGCUCACCAAGGCGACGACGGGUAGCCGGCCCGAGAGGGUGACCAGCCACACUGGGACUGAGAGACGGCCCAGACCCCUACGGGGGGCAGCGGUGGGGAGCAUUGCACAGUGAGCGAGAGCCUGAUGCAGCGACGCCGCGUGAGGGAUGACGGCCUUCGGGUUGUAAACCUCUUUCGGCAGGGAAGAAGCGAAAGUGACGGUACCUGCAGAAGAAGCACCGGCUAACUACGUG
rnacentral:rRNA from 1 species